GAGGCAUGCGUCAAAAGUGUCCCCCACGUCCUCCCCAUGGCACACAAAAUUCCAAUAACCCUUUCAUAGUUAAAAGAGCCCUUAGCUUAUUUACAUGAUGAAAAAUGAGAAAUCUAUAGGCACUGUUAGAAGUAAAACAUACAUUAGAAACAGUCCUAAUAGAGGGAGGUAACAGAGACUAAAAUUCACAUUCAAUUGUGAAUGACAAGAUAUAGCGGGUCUUUUUCUGGGAGCAGGUUUUAACAGUGGCAGAGAGUACUGAAAAGGAACUUUAAAAGGCAAAAUUUAUGGGAAGAUGAGGCUGGAGACCCCUAAAGCAAAAGUGUUAUCUAAAUCUCGUUUUUGUUGAGAACCAAUUUCAAGAGACUCUAGUGGACUA
rnacentral:lncRNA from 1 species